rnacentral:rRNA from 1 species
UACAGAGGGUGCGAGCGUUAAUCGGAAUUACUGGGCGUAAAGCGCGCGUAGGCGGCUUUGCAAGUCGGGUGUGAAAUCCCCAAGCUUAACUUGGGAACUGCAUUCGAGACUGCAUUGCUAGAGUAUGGGAGAGGGAAGUGGAAUUUCCGGUGUAGCGGUGAAAUGCGUAGAUAUCGGAAGGAACAUCAGUGGCGAAAGCGACUUCCUGGAUCGACACUGACGCUGAGGCGCGAAAGCGUGGGGAGCAAACAGG